UACGGAGGGGGGCUAGCGUUGUUCGGAAUUACUGGGCGUAAAGCGCACGUAGGCGGCUUUGUAAGUUAGAGGUGAAAGCCCGGGGCUCAACUCCGGAUUGCCUUUAAGACUGCAUCGCUAGAAUUGUGGAGAGGUAAGUGGAAUUCCGAGUGUAGAGGUGAAAAUUCGUAGAUAUUCGGAGAACACCAGUGGCGAAGGCGACUUACUGGACACAUAUUGACGCUGAGGUGCGAAAGCGUGGGGAGCAAACAGG
rnacentral:rRNA from 1 species